rnacentral:rRNA from 1 species
AUGUUGGCUUCGGUCUACUAGUAAAGUGGCGGACGGGUGCGUAACACGUGGGUAAUCUACCUUCCGGCGGGGGACAACAGUCCGAAAGGAUUGCUAAUACCGCAUACGUCAGCGGCGCCUACGGGCGCUGUUGGGAAAGAUGGCCUCUCUUUAGAAGCUGUCACCGGAAGAUGAGCCCGCGUCCCAUCAGCUAGUUGGUGAGGUAACGGCUCACCAAGGCUAAGACGGGUAGCUGGUCUGAGAGGAUGAUCAGCCACACUGGKACUGCGACACGGCCCAKACUCCUACGGGAGGCAGCAGUGGGGAAUAUUGGGCAAUGGGCGAAAGCCUGACCCAGCCACGCCGCGUGAGUGAUGAAGGCCUUCUGGUCGUAAAGCUCUGUGGGGAGGGACHAAUAAGCUGGCUSUUAACACCUGCUGGCCCUGAVRGUACCUCCUUAUCAAGCACCGGCUAACCCUGUGCCACCAKCCGCGGUAAUACAGGGGGUGCAAACGUUGCUUCSUAUUAUUUGUGCGUAAAGCGCACGUAA